rnacentral:rRNA from 1 species
GACGAACCGUGCAAACGUUGUUCGGAAUCACUGGGCUUAAAGGGCGCGUAGGCGGAUGGUUAAGUCAGGGGUGAAAUCCGGCAGCUCAACUGUCGAAUAGCUUUUGAUACUGGCCAUCUGGAGGGAGGUAGGGGCACGUGGAACUCUCGGUGGAGCGGUGAAAUGCGUAGAUAUCGGGAGGAACGCCGGUGGCGAAAGCGACGUGCUGGACCUUUUCUGACGCUGAGGCGCGAAAGCCAGGGGAGCAAACGGG